CAUGGUCACAUGGUAUCGGAUUUGUCUGUUUUUGGUGUUUUGUUUACUAAACUAAGAUUACUAAAACUAAGCAGCUUAUAACUUAGUUCAGAAACCUUAAAGAAUUGAUUCCUUAAUUUUUUGAACAUGGAAAGAAACUUUGCAUUCAUCUUUCAUAAAAUUCUGUCCCUGAAGGACCUUCAUAUUUAUUAGUUAGCAGGAUAGGAUACCCGGUGAAUCCUCAUCUGUUGGAUGGUAGCAUAUAUCCAUCCCUGUAUUGCCAUCUACUUAAAGUCAAAGUGUGAAGUGUAGCAGUCUCACAAAAGAAGAAAAAAUCACUGGGGUCUAAUCCUUACUUCAUAUUAUCUCAUUCAAAACAAAGGAUUGAGACGAAAACAGUGAAUCUGCAAUUAUUGAUAUAAAGAUGUGCCGUGAAUCAAUCUGGAAAGUUAUCAGUGUUUGUUAUCGAUAUCUCUGACCCAGAGAGGGAACAUGGGCUCGGGACUAGAUUGGUCAUGACAGGAAUAUUAAAAUAGUCAUUGAAUUAGUCUUAAAAUGCAUAUUUAUCCUUGAUCUCACCAGCAGCAGUUAGUGUGGAAUGCACUGGCAAUGCAAAGUCAGUAAGGCCCUUUAAUACAAAGGGGGGGGGGGGUGUCAUAUGUGGUGCACUGAUAUUAGUUUCCUGCACAAACAGAAUGGUGUGGUAUCUGUUGAGGUGAACAGCUAGUUGUGUUUGUUGAUGGAGGUGAGUGUGUCAAAGUAACAUGAAAGGCCAAAUGCAGAGCUUCCUGUCGCAUUUAGAAGUGUAGUUUUAUUUUUUCAUCUCUCUGAGGCAGCAGCACGACUGUUGGACAGUCUCCUCACUUUUAUUUUGAUAGUUUGGUUCCUGAUGACCACCUCUGGUCCCUAACAUUUACAAACACACUGCGGUAUUCAGACUCGUGUAGCCGUCUCUAAUCUCUCGGUUGGACAGACUCUAUCAUCUGGAGCUGCAGAGCAGUAAAGUCACUUUUAUCAGCAGCUCCGGUCCAAGAUGUUGGAGGUGGUGUCCGAAAACAGGAUCAGGAAGUUACCGAUCUGAGGAAGCUGAUUGUUGCUUUGUUAUUUAUUGUUACAAAGGAUUUAUGCUAUUAUCUAAAAAUGUAUUUAAAAAUUUUGGGUGCACAUGCUACUGCUUCAUAUACAGCGAACAUGUUUCAUUGGGACAAGUCGCUUCUUUAGUGGUUUGAAUUUUGCGGACGAUCAAUGGAUACAAUAUUUCAUAAGUGUCAGAAACAUUUGUUGCAGUCGUGUUGGACGUAUGAUCUUUGUCAUUGUUAGGGUUACUACUCUGACUUAUGAUGCCCGAGUGUGCAUCACGAAAAACCUCGAUCUGACCUCGUGCUACACGUGGUCACUGUAAGAGAAAUGCAACAUGCAUAACUGUACGCGAGUACUUUGCAGUAUGAAUUUGCUGCUCAGCUUAUUAACAUUUUGUCUCAACCAGAGACGAGUGUUGGAAUAAUGAGUGAUGAGUGUUGCUGUUGGAUUAAGUAAGCCCUAGAUUAACUAAGCUACUGUAUACGCUGCAAAGCCCUAAUGUGGAAAAAAAGUCUCUGUUCUGGUAAUAAAAUCUUUCAAAGCCUGUAGCUUAUCACUGCAAAAUAAGCAUCUUGCAACUGGAUUACAACUCUCAUGCUUGCAAGUGUUUUCACACUACAGUCCAGAUGGGAGAUUCAUUCUGUAACCUAAAUGGAUUCUUCUUUUCGUGCAUCUUCUUUUUUUUGGUUUCUGAUAUUGUAAAUGUGACAAACUAUACAAUCAAUUAAUACACCAAGCCAAUACAAACAUUUGGAAAGCAGCUAAUUCUCCAUCAGCUGUGUUUAUUUCCAGCAAUCUCCCAAAAACGCCGAUGGAAAAACAUUUCAAACUUGUUCUGACAAACCCAAGUUUUUCUUUAGCUUAUAAAUCAUUGAUGGUUUACAAGUUAUUUGUUUAAUUAGUGCAAGAAAGUCUGGAAUACAUCCUCAGGUUUGCUUCAUUCCAGCCAACAGAGGGACCCACAAAGUUGUCAAGGUGUAAGUCCGCCCUUGUUGCGCGUGUCCUAAAACGCUGCAGAUUCAGUGCCUAAUGCGUAGGAAAGUAUUCGGCAGUGAACGGAAAAUAAUAUUUUCCGCUUCUUUAGUGAAAUGAAAGCCGGGUCCGCAGCUGUGCCGGCUUACCAAAAGCGUUUCCUGCACAAACAUUUCAAACGCUUCAGAUUCCAGGUUCAUCUGUGUCCAUGUCAAUAGCAGACACAGUUCACUCUAAAUAAGUUCACGAGGACCCGAGUGAUUGUGUGCAGAUGUUGCUUUUAAUAGAAAGUUGACUCUGGAAACAGUUGCAGUCUACACACACACACACGCACGCACACACACACACGUGCACACACACACACACACACACACACACGUUAUGAAAGCAGGUUCGCUAAAGCCAAAGCUUUCUGAGGUUAUGUGACAUUUCUUGAAGAGUUUACACAACCUUACAGACUUUGUUGACUCAAGUCAUCCCCUCUCCAAGUUGAUAUCAGUAGUCAAUGCAUAUACACAUGCAAACAUACAGUAUACAAAUGCAGUAAAUGAAAACACUGAAAUAAUAAAAAAGUAGACAGGGACACCUUAAAUAUUGCAGUUUCAUAUAACCGAAAGGCACAGAGAUUUAAAACGCGAGUGCUGUGAAGUUUGAACCUCACGCAGACAUGUGGCAGCCAAUCUGUGGUUCGAAUUUGUUGUGAAAAUGCACGACUCGAGUACAAAAAGAAGGAAAAGUACUCCUCCUUAAAUUCCCCGUUAGUUUACUGAAGCUUUGCUGGUUAUCAUUUGCAGGCUCGUUUAAUAGCAAGAAAAAAAAUAUCGCAGAGUUUAGUCGCCACUAACAGUUUGCAGAAUCUCACAACCUCGUGCAGCAGAGAUCUUCAAAGAGUUGUGGGGGACUCGAGCUGCUCAGGGUGUGAACGCUGCGAGAGAUGAGAGUCAAAAUCACACAUACAAACACACGCACACCAAUUCACUUCUGGAGCUGUGCCUCAAGUAACGAGCCGACAGUCCAAGUGACAAACAUGUUGUCUGAGGACUGGACGAAUGUGGACCUCUGCGGCUCCUCUCCGCACGCCGCGAGGGCCUCCUAACGCGGCUGCGGCGUAGGUGGCCACAGCUCCGAUCAGAUUAUUAUUCCUUCCACUUUGGAAGUUUUUUUUUUCUCGUGCUGAGAGUCUUGCAGAACAAAACUUCUUCAUUUGGAUUUGAUGACCCUCUCUGACCCACUCCCCCCUCCUCUCGUCUCCGCACCUCUCCACCUCCCCGUCUGACUCAUCCGACCGUCCAUCCGCGGUCACGCUGCCGUCCGUCUGAUGAGCCUUCACCGACGUUCCAUGCUGACAUAUUCAGACUAUUGUUCUGCCGCUGCGGGUGGCACAGGUGGGCCUCCGUCUCUCCAACAUGGCCCAGUUACAAUGCAGCGCUCCCUGCCAAGUCAGGCCCCGUUCAUCCGGGAACAGGGGAACUGGAAUGGGUUUGACCGUAUUGUGCUGCACCUGCUUCGCCCUCGCACCAUAUCCCCCUGCUUCGCCUGCCAUUCUGCCACUGCAGAGAACGCUUCUUCCCUCGCAAGCCCCCGCGACGUAAAACCCGUAAAAUCCACUGAACUUAGCCGCUCUGAUGGCCGCGGCCAAAACAGCAUCUGAUGUGCCUUAUUUGUUGACUGUGUGAGAUUAGUUGCAGAGGGUACACGUCGAGGGGCUUAUCAUGCAGAGAUGGAGCAAAGCCCCCACCCCUCCACCAAACACCCACCAGCCUUGCCAAAUAAUGAGAAAUGGAAGAAUCUCCAGCUUGUCUAAAGCCCUUGUCACAGUCGGUCCGUGCACACUUCUGCUCCCGAGCCAGACUGUAGAGCAGAUACUGUAAGAGCUGCGGGACCAGAGGAGCUGGCUGCUGAGCUCCACAUUCAGCAGGCAGCUCGGGAGCCAAAGUCCUGGUCAUUUUUGUCCGCCGUGCCUCAAUAGGAAGCAUCCACCUGGAUGGCGUUAGGCCUGCAUGUGAAAGAAUGUGCUUUUGUUUUCACAGAAGGAGAAAGAAGCAGCUGUAGCACUCGAACAUGUGCACGUGUCACCGUGUCGGUGCAAAUGCAGCGCAGGAAAUGAAUCAGGGCCUUUCAGAUGAAAUCUUCAAAGCGUUUCAGCUGCCUCUGUGUUGAAAAGCAGAAAUAAAAUGUUCAUCUGCUCUUUGCUGCUGUGAGUCAAUGAGCUGCUCUUCCUGCAGAGCAAUGCAGCCGUGCAGAAAUCCUGAUUUUAUAAACCCUGCGAGAUGUCGUAGCUGCAGUAUCUGUUCAUGAGUUUUGCAGGACUUGCAUAAAAAGCAGCUGUUUUUUCUUCUUCUUUAAGCUCAUAAAUCCCAUAAAGGUUUGAUUUAGGGGUUAUUUUCCAGAAAAAAUCAAAUGUAUAGAACUCAAUCGAUCAUAUUAACGAUGGAAUUACAGAAACAUUUCACUCAGGCAGCCCAGGAGCGGCCUCGACCUCAGAAAGUUAAGGGUCCAAACUUGUACUGCUGUUAUUGUUAAAUGUGUGAAUUGACCAUUUGCAAAACCUAAACGCCAAAAACUCCACUUUAGCCAGAAGAUUCAAAAAUGUUUACAUGUGCUGGAUUUUCCAGUUUAUUCUCCUUUUGUGCAGUUGGUCUGUGGCCUGUGACCUCUUGGCCUGUGUUUGAACCAGAUCUCUCGCCUCCCAGAGGGCGCGAGCUUUGCGUAAUAAAGAAUCAGUCAAAUUACAGAAAAACCCAGUAAAAAAUGUUGGGGGGGGGCAGCUGCUUUAAACCUCCCCAAAUCACUGUUGGUUUAUGAAGAGUGUGGAAACAGUCUGUGUUGUUUAUCUGCUGGUGAGACGUGUUGUCACUUCUCCUAAUAAUUUAAAAUGAGUCAAAGACAAAUUCCACAGCCAGCAUCAGUGAAUGAAGUAUAGCUGAGCACCUGAAUGAUGCUGGAGUCAGGCUAAAGGAAACUGAGAGAGAGAGAGAGAGAGAGAGAGGAGGCUCAUGCAGGCAGAGAUGUGAGGAUGGAGGCUGACGGGCUGCUGGGGAUUCGCUGUGCGAGAGCUCCCUCUUGGUGCCA